GACGAGGAAAAGAAGAAUAAGGGAAUCUUUGUGUAGAAAUAAAACAGAACAUUCUCUUACAAUGGGAAAAUAUUCCAAAUCGUCUCUAAGCCAUUGGAUCUGUUCCCGUUAGGAUUAGAGUAAAGAUUCUUAGUAUCUCCCACUAACGUCAUUGAUUUACACAUAAAGCUAACUCUUAAGUGGUAAUCGCCAAAACCAUGUUACCUUCAUUGUAUAAUUUGUGGUGUUCAUAGUAUUAGGGGUUAACAGUUUGAUUCAUUUCUUAAAAAAAAAAACAGUUUGAUUCCUUUUGGUUACUUGCGCUAAUUAACUUUUAUAGUUUUAUGUGAUCUAUCAAUCG
rnacentral:lncRNA from 1 species